rnacentral:rRNA from 2 species
UUCUCCUGGAAAACGGGUGGUAAUGCCGGAUGCUCCAGUUGAUCGCAUGGUCUUCUGGGAAAGCUUUCGCGGUAUGGGAUGGGGUCGCGUCCUAUCAGCUUGACGGCGGGGUAACGGCCCACCGUGGCUUCGACGGGUAGCCGGCCUGAGAGGGCGACCGGCCACAUUGGGACUGAGAUACGGCCCAGACUCCUACGGGAGGCAGCAGUGGGGAAUAUUGCACAAUGGGCGCAAGCCUGAUGCAGCGACGCCGCGUGAGGGAUGGAGGCCUUCGGGUUGUAAACCUCUUUUAUCGGGGAGCAAGCGAGAGUGAGUUUACCCGUUGAAUAAGCACCGGCUAACUACGUGCCAGCAGCCGCGGUAAUACGUAGGGUGCAAGCGUUAUCCGGAAUUAUUGGGCGUAAAGGGCUCGUAGGCGGUUCGUCGCGUCCGGUGUGAAAGUCCAUCGCUUAACGGUGGAUCCGCGCCGGGUACGGGCGGGCUUGAGUGCGGUAGGGGAGACUGGAAUUCCCGGUGUAACGGUGGAAUGUGUAGAUAUCGGAAAAGAACACCA